rnacentral:rRNA from 1 species
UGCAGUUAAAAAGCUCGUAGUUGGAUUUCGGAGUGGGCCAGUUGGUCCGCCGCAAGGUGUGUUACUGACUGGUCUGCUCUUCUUCGCAAAGACCGCGUGUGCUCUUUGUUGAGUGUGCGUAGGAUUUACGACGUUUACUUUGAAAAAAUUAGAGUGUUCAAAGCAGGCUAUUGCUUGAAUACAUGAGCAUGGAAUAAUGGAAUAGGACUUUGGUCCCAUUUUGUUGGUUUCUAGGACCGAAGUAAUGAUUAAGAGGGACAAUUGGGGGCAUCCGUAUUUCGUUGUCAGAGGUGAAAUUCUUGGAUUUACGAAAGACGAACAACUGCGAAAGCACUUGCCAAGAGUGUUUUCAUUAAUCAAGAACGAAAGUUAGAGGAUCGAAGACGAUCAGAUACCGUCCUAGUUCUAACCAUAAACGAUGUC